AAGUCGUAACAAGGUUUCCGUAGGUGAACCUGCGGAAGGAUCAUUAUCGAAUAUAAACUUGGGUAGACUGUUGCUGGCUUCUCUUCGAGGAGCAUGUGCACGUUUAUCCUCUUUAUUUUUCCACCUGUGCACCUUUUGUAGGCUUGGAUUAUCAGUGGUUCUAAUGUGUCUUUUAAAAGGCAUAAGAAUUGUUUUGGGACUGCUGUGUUUAAACGCAUGUUUAUCGGCUUUCCCUUUUAUUUUCCAAGUCUAUGUUUUGUUAUAUACACUCCAGAAAUGUAAUAGAAUGCUGUACUUUAGGUCAUUCGUACCUAUAAUAAAAUCAGUACAACUUUCAGCAACGGAUCUCUUGGCUCUCGCAUCGAUGAAGAACGCAGCGAAAUGCGAUAAGUAAUGUGAAUUGCAGAAUUCAGUGAAUCAUCGAAUCUUUGAACGCACCUUGCGCUCCUUGGUAUUUCAAGGAGCAUGCCUGUUUGAGUAUCAUUAAAUUAUCAACUGUACCAAUUUGGUUGCAGAUUGGAUGUGGGAGAUUUUGCAGGCUUUUGAUUUCUCUUUGAGAAAAAACGGUCAGCUCUCCUGAAAUAUAUUAGCAGUGCCUUUGUUGGUUCAUUAGGUGUGAUAAUUUAUCUACAUCUUCNCAUGGNACCUUCGUUUGNAAAGGUCAUAUUGCUUCUAAUUGUCUUUGGACAAAAAACAUAUAAUGUAUGGAAAACUUGAUCUCAAAUCAGNCAGGACUACCCGCUGAACUUAAGCAUAUCANUAAGCGGAGGAAANGAAACUAACAAGGAUUCCCCUAGUAACUGCGAGUGAAGCGGGAAAAGCUCAAAUUUAAANUCUGACAGUUGUUCUGGCUGUCCGAGUUGUAGUCUAGAGAAGUGUUGCCCGCGCUGGACCGUGUACAAGUCUCCUGGAAUGGAGCAUCAUAGAGGGUGAGAAUCCCGUCUUUGACAUGGACUACCAGGGCUUUGUGGUGCGCUCUCGAAGAGUCGAGUUGUUUGGGAAUGCAGCUCAAAAUGGGUGGUAAAUGCCAUCUAAAGCUAAAUAUUGGCGAGAGACCGAUAGCGAACAAGUACCGUGAGGGAAAGAUGAAAAGAACUUUGGAAAGAGAGUUAAACAGUACGUGAAAUUGCUGAAAGGGAAACGCUUGAAGUCAGUCGCAUCGACUGGAAAUCAACCUUGCUUUUGCUUGGUGUAUUUUCUGGCUUGAUGGGUCAGCAUCAAUUUUGAUCGCUGGAUAAAGGCUUGGGGAAUGUGGCAUCUUAGGAUGUGUUAUAGCCCUUGGUUGCAUACAGCGGUUGGGAUUGAGGAACUCAGCACGCAGCGAGGCCGGGUUUCGACCACGUUUACGUGCUUAGGAUGCUGGCAUAAUGGCUUUAAUCGACC
rnacentral:rRNA from 1 species